CACAGGCCUGUUUCAAACGCACAUGCUGAACAGUCCAAGUGCAGCUCAUUCUCACAAUGCUGUGCUCUCCGGUGAACCCGGAGAGGUCCGGACGAGCCGCACAAUCUGAGCCCUGACCCUUCCAGCUGGCUCAGAAACGGUUACGACCUACAGUACGUGGUGCUACAGUACAUCAAUCAGACUGACUGUUAGACCGAAACAAAGCCUUGUUCCCGAGGGAGUGUCUCCUUCCAAGCCGCGGCUGCCUCCCUGCUCAUGAUGCCGUCUCUGCGGGACAGCUGGCGAUGUUUACUGCAGCGAGAGAGCCUGACGGCGGGUUUGGGCCGAGGGCGGACAACACAGCCGACACCUCAGAGACUCACCUCGGAGCGAGCCAGGACUUCAGACGGAAGUUUUGAAAUUGUACGGUAAACUCAUUGAACAGCACCACGCCUGUCAUCCUAGCUGUGAUUUUAAAGAAAAGGGGGGGGGAAUACAAGAGGAAACAGGAAAACACCAGGUCACGCAGUGGACCCAGAUACGAUGCAAAGUCCGCAUGAAACCAGCAAAGCUAAUGGAAAGAGCAGAGGCAGGUUCACUCCAGGUGACGGGAACUGAGGAGAGACAUCUGCUCCAGUCGAAAAUGUCUCAACCUCCAGGGAGAAAUUUGCACGACGCAAGCAAAUCAAAAGCGAAUCAGCCCUGUUUGCUGAACCUCCGUAUACUGUGUGAACUGAUCCUGACCCCUUUGGUUAAAUUAACUCAUCUGUCAGACUUAACCGGACCUAAACAAUGACUGCAUUUCAGUAAAGAGAGAUCGGUUGGAAUAUUUUGAUAGUCUGAAGGAAGGACCUGGUGAUUGAUGAGGUAACCACCCUCCCCCUGUAGCAUUUA